rnacentral:rRNA from 1 species
CACGUAGGGGGCAAGCGUUGUCCGGAUUUAUUGGGCGUAAAGAGCUCGUAGGCGGCUCAGUAAGUCGGGUGUGAAACCUCCAGGCUCAACCUGGAGACGCCACCCGAUACUGCUGUGGCUUGAGUCCGGUAGGGGAGCGUGGAAUUCCUGGUGUAGCGGUGAAAUGCGCAGAUAUCAGGAGGAACACCAGCGGCGAAGGCGGCGCUCUGGGCCGGAACUGACACUGAGGAGCGAAAGCCAGGGGAGCAAACAGG